GUUUGUGCAUUUCCUCAAAUUCUCUCCUUUUAAUUUCCCUCCAUUCAUUAGAGGGAGCCAAAAUGACCCCCUGGCUGAAAUUGGUAUUUUUUCUUGCAUCCCUUAGAGGUGUCCGAUCUGAGGUCCAGUUGGUGGAGUCUGGAGGGGAUGUGAGGAGACCUGGAGAGUCCCUCCGUCUCUCCUGCCAAGCCUCUGGAUUCACUUUCAGCAGCUAUUACAUGAGAUGGGUGAGACAGGCUCCAGGGAAAGGACUGGAAUGGGUGGCCUACAUAAACACUGCUUCAAGUACUUACUACUCUGACAAAGUGAAGGGCCGCUUCACCAUCUCCAGGGACAAUGCCAAAAGCCAGCUGUAUCUGCAAAUGAACAAUUUGAAAGAAGAAGACGCAGCUGUCUAUUAUUGUGCUGGAGACACACAGUGAGAGGAAGUGAAUCUGAUGCCUGUCAAGAACUUUCUCUCCUUCUGAGCAGCUUACACUUAUUUACACUCAAUCCUUUUAUUUCGUUCCUUGCUGAAUUUCCUCAGUCUCAUACUUUCCUACAAGUUAUUCAUUUUCCAUUCCUUCCCCAUUUAUUUAUACUCCGUAUGUUUAAACCCGAGUCUCUGUCCUCAUCAGAUCUGUAUAAAAUCAGAUAGUUUGUGUAUAAAAUAAUUCAUACACACAUGAAACUCCAUGGCUUAUGAGUGCGGGUGGGGGAGGGAAUAAAUCCAUUCAAAAUA